AACCAGCUGCAAUUUCAUCUGCUGCAUAACCAUCCAGUAAUUAUGCAUGGCUCUGCUGGCAGAGGAAUGGCAGUGAGGUU
ensembl:miRNA